CGGGCCGGACGGGCGAUCGCCGCUCGGACGGUUCGCCGUACGAGGGGAGGAAAGUCCGGACUCCAGCGAGCAGCGUGCCGGGGAAAUCCCGGUCGGGGCGACCCGAAGGAAAGUGGCACAGAGAACAGACCGCCUCGGUUCCCGCGAGGGGCCGCGGUAAGGGUGAAAAGGUGCGGUAAGAGCGCACCGCGAACCCCGGCAACGGGGUCGGCAGGCCAAACCCCACGCGGAGCAAGGCCGAAUAGGGGAACGGAAGGGGGGCUCGCCCCCGCGCCGAAAGGCGACGUUUCCGGGUAGGCCGCUCGAGCCCCGCCGAGAGGCGCGGGCCCAGAGGAAUGAUCGCCGGCCGGAAGGCGCGAGCCGACCGGCCACAGAAUCCGGCUUACAGUCCGGCCCGGGUC
rnacentral:RNase_P_RNA from 1 species